CACCGCCCGUCACACCACGGGAGUUGGAGACGCCCGAAGCCGAUUAUCUAACCUUUUGGAAGAAGUCGUCGAAGGUGGAAUCAAUAACUGGGGUGAAGUCGUAACAAGGUAGCCGUAUCGGAAGGUGCGGCUGGAUCACCUCCUUU
rnacentral:rRNA from 1 species